GCCUCCGUAGCUCAGUGGUAGAGCACCGCUCUUGUAAAGCGAAGGUCGUCAGUUCAAUCCUGACCGGGGGCUCCA
rnacentral:tRNA from 1 species